GACGAACGCUGGCGGCGUGCUUAACACAUGCAAGUCGAACGGAAAGGCCCUGCUUGCAGGGUACUCGAGUGGCGAACGGGUGAGUAACACGUGGGUGAUCUGCCCUGCACUUCGGGAGAAGCCUGGGAAACUGGGGCGAAUACCGGAUAGGAGCCAUUUUGAGUGGGAUGGUUGGAAAGUGAUUUCGGGGUAGGAUGAGCUCUCGCCCUAGCAGCGUGUUGGUGGGGUAAUGGCCUACCAAGGCGGCGACGGGUAGCCGGCCUGAGAGGGUGGACGGCCACACUGCAGCUGGUCCACGGGCCAGCCUCCGACGGCAGGCAGCGGUCGGUAAUCUUCCGCAAGGGGCGAAAGCCUGACGGAGCAGCGCCGCGUGAGUGAUGAUGGUCUUCGGAUCGUAAUACUCUGUUAUUAUGGAAGAACAAAUGUGUAAGUAACUAUGCACGUCUUGACGGUACCUAAUCAGAAAGCCACGGCUAACUACGUG
rnacentral:rRNA from 1 species